UACGUAGGGUGCAAGCGUUGUCCGGAAUUAUUGGGCGUAAAGAGCUCGUAGGCGGUUUGUCGCGUCUGCUGUGAAAACGCGAGGCUCAACCUCGCGCCUGCAGUGGGUACGGGCAGACUAGAGUGCGGUAGGGGAGAUUGGAAUUCCUGGUGUAGCGGUGGAAUGCGCAGAUAUCAGGAGGAACGCCGAUGGCGAAGGCAGAUCUCUGGGCCGUAACUGACGCUGAGGAGCGAAAGCGUGGGGAGCGAACAGG
rnacentral:rRNA from 1 species